rnacentral:lncRNA from 1 species
UUGUACCUGUAGAAAAAUUAUUUCAAACGGGAUAGCACAUCCUCAUUUUUACGGAAAUGUUGUUAACCGUGCCCGGAAAUUUAGAAAUGAUCCAUGUAAACUUGUUGCUCCUUUAAAUAAAGUUAUUCUAAAAGGUUGCCUAUUCAACACUGUAAUAAGAUCAUUGAAUAUUGUUUUUAUAGGUAUUUAUAUUGAUUUUGUUAUCAGUAGAUUAAAAGCUAACUAAAUAUUACUAGUAUGUUAUAUACAUAUACAUUUUCAUGGAUCUACAAUCUGUCGAUAC